CAACCGUCACAACGGCUUCCUGGCGUGACGGGGAUCAACCAAUGGAGCG
rfam:Defluviimonas alba strain cai42, complete genome.